GAUGAACGCUGGCGGCGUGCCUAACACAUGCAAGUCGAGCGAACCCUUCGGGGUGAGCGGCGGACGGGUGAGUAACGCGUGGGUAACCUGCCCUGUACACACGGAUAACAUACCGAAAGGUAUGCUAAUACGGGAUAAUAUAUGAGAGUCGCAUGGCUUUUGUAUCAAAGCUCCGGCGGUACAGGAUGGACCCGCGUCUGAUUAGCUAGUUGGUAAGGUAACGGCUUACCAAGGCAACGAUCAGUAGCCGACCUGAGAGGGUGAUCGGCCACAUUGGAACUGAGACACGGUCCAAACUCCUACGGGAGGCAGCAGUGGGGAAUAUUGCACAAUGGGCGAAAGCCUGAUGCAGCAACGCCGCGUGAGCGAUGAAGGCCUUCGGGUCGUAAAGCUCUGUCCUCAAGGAAGAUAAUGACGGUACUUGAGGAGGAAGCCCCGGCUAACUACGUGCCAGCAGCCGCGGUAAUACGUAGGGGGCUAGCGUUAUCCGGGAAUUACUGGGCGUAAAGGGUGCGUAGGCGGUCUUUCAAGCCAGAAGUGAAAGGCUACGGCUCAACCGUAGUAAGCUUUUGGAACUGUAGGACUUGAGUGCAGGAGAGGAGAGUGGAAUUCCUAGUGUAGCGGUGAAAUGCGUAGAUAUUAGGAGGAACACCAGUAGCGAAGGCGGCUCUCUGGACUGUAACUGACGCUGAGGCACGAAAGCGUGGGGAGCAAACAGGAUUAGAUACCCUGGUAGUCCACGCCGUAAACGAUGAGUACUAGGUGUCGGGGGUUACCCCCCUCGGUGCCGCAGCUAACGCAUUAAGUACUCCGCCUGGGAAGUACGCUCGCAAGAGUGAAACUCAAAGGAAUUGACGGGGACCCGCGCAAGUAGCGGAGCAUGUGGUUUAAUUCGAAGCAACGCGAAGAACCUUACCUAAGCUUGACAUCCCAUUGACCUCUCCCUAAUCGGAGAUUUCCCUUCGGGGACAGUGGUGACAGGUGGUGCAUGGUUGUCGUCAGCUCGUGUCGUGAGAUGUUGGGUUAAGUCCCGCAACGAGCGCAACCCUUGCCUUUAGUUGCCAGCAUUAAGUUGGGCACUCUAGAGGGACUGCCGAGGAUAACUCGGAGGAAGGUGGGGAUGACGUCAAAUCAUCAUGCCCCUUAUGCUUAGGGCUACACACGUGCUACAAUGGGUGGUACAGAGGGUUGCCAAGCCGUGAGGUGGAGCUAAUCCCUUAAAGCCAUUCUCAGUUCGGAUUGUAGGCUGAAACUCGCCUACAUGAAGCUGGAGUUACUAGUAAUCGCAGAUCAGAAUGCUGCGGUGAAUGCGUUCCCGGGUCU
rnacentral:rRNA from 1 species